rnacentral:rRNA from 1 species
GAUGAACGCUGGCGGCGUGCCUAAUACAUGCAAGUCGAGCGAACGGACGAGUAGCUUGCUUCUCUGAUGUUAGCGGCGGACGGGUGAGUAACACGUGGAUAACCUACCUAUAAGACUGGGAUAACUUCGGGAAACCGUAGCUAAUACCGGAUAAUAUUUUGAACCGCAUGGUUACAAACUGAAAGACGGUCUUGCUGUCACUUAUAGAUGGAUCCGCGCUGCAUUAGCUAGUUGGUAAGGUAACGGCUUACCAAGGCAACGAUGCAUAGCCGACCUGAGAGGGUGAUCAGCCACACUGGAACUGAGACACGGUCCAGACUCCUACGGGAGGCAGCAGUAGGGAAUCUUCCGCAAUGGGCGAAAGCCUGACGGAGCAACGCCGCGUGAGUGAUGAAGGUCUUCGGAUCGUAAAACUCUGUUAUUAGGGAAGAACAUAUGUGUAAGUAACUGUGCACAUCUUGACGGUACCUAAUCAGAAAGCCACGGCUAACUACGUG